rnacentral:rRNA from 1 species
AGAGUUUGAUCCUGGCUCAGAUUGAACGCUGGCGGCAGGCCUAACACAUGCAAGUCGAGCGGUAGCACAGAGAGCUUGCUCUCGGGUGACGAGCGGCGGACGGGUGAGUAAUGUCUGGGAAACUGCCUGAUGGAGGGGGAUAACUACUGGAAACGGUAGCUAAUACCGCAUAACGUCGCAAGACCAAAGUGGGGGACCUUCGGGCCUCAUGCCAUCAGAUGUGCCCAGAUGGGAUUAGCUAGUAGGUGGGGUAAUGGCUCACCUAGGCGACGAUCCCUAGCUGGUCUGAGAGGAUGACCAGCCACACUGGAACUGAGACACGGUCCAGACUCCUACGGGAGGCAGCAGUGGGGAAUAUUGCACAAUGGGCGCAAGCCUGAUGCAGCCAUGCCGCGUGUGUGAAGAAGGCCUUCGGGUUGUAAAGCACUUUCAGCGGGGAGGAAGGCGUUAAGGUUAAUAACCUUGGCGAUUGACGUUACCCGCAGAAGAAGCACCGGCUAACUCCGUGCCAGCAGCCGCGGUAAUACGGAGGGUGCAAGCGUUAAUCGGAAUUACUGGGCGUAAAGCGCACGCAGGCGGUCUGUCAAGUCGGAUGUGAAAUCCCCGGGCUCAACCUAGGAACUGCAUUCGAAACUGGCAGGCUAGAGUCUUGUAGAGGGGGGUAGAAUUCCAGGUGUAGCGGUGAAAUGCGUAGAGAUCUGGAGGAAUACCGGUGGCGAAGGCGGCCCCUGGACAAAGACUGACGCUCAGUGCGAAAGCGUGGGGAGCAAACAGGAUUAGAUACCUGUAGUCACGCGUAACGAUGUCGAUUUGGAGUGUGCCCUUGAGCGUGCUCGCUACGCGUAAAUCGACGCUGGGAGUACGGCCGCAAGGUUAAAACUCAAAUGAAUUGACGGGGGCCCGCACAAGCGGUGGAGCAUGUGGUUUAAUUCGAUGCAACGCGAAGAACCUUACCUGGUCUUGACAUCCACAGAACUUUCCAGAGAUGGAUUGGUGCCUUCGGGAACUGUGAGACAGGUGCUGCAUGACUGUCGUCAGCUCGUGUUGUGAAAUGUUGGGUUAAGUCCCGCAACGAGCGCAACCCUUAUCCUUUGUUGCCAGCGGUUCGGCCGGGAACUCAAAGGAGACUGCCAGUGAUAAACUGGAGGAAGGUGGGGAUGACGUCAAGUCAUCAUGGCCCUUACGACCAGGGCUACACACGUGCUACAAUGGCAUAUACAAAGAGAAGCGACCUCGCGAGAGCAAGCGGACCUCAUAAAGUAUGUCGUAGUCCGGAUUGGAGUCUGCAACUCGACUCCAUGAAGUCGGAAUCGCUAGUAAUCGUAGAUCAGAAUGCUACGGUGAAUACGUUCCCGGGCCUUGCACACACCGCCCGUC